UACGUAGGGUGCAAGCGUUAAUCGGAAUUACUGGGCGUAAAGCGUGCGCAGGCGGUUUCGUAAGUCUGUCGUGAAAUCCCCGGGCUUAACCUGGGAAUGGCGAUGGAGACUGCGAGGCUAGAGUUUGGCAGAGGGGGUAGAAUUCCACGUGUAGCAGUGAAAUGCGUAGAGAUGUGGAGGAACACCGAUGGCGAAGGCAGCCCCCUGGGUCAAGAUUGACGCUCAUGCACGAAAGCGUGGGGAGCAAACAGG
rnacentral:rRNA from 1 species